UACGAAGGGGGCUAGCGUUGCUCGGAAUCGCUGGGCGUAAAGCGCACGUAGGCGGACUCUUAAGUCGGUGGUGAAAUCCUGGAGCUCAACUCCAGAACUGCCUUCGAUACUGAGAGUCUCGAGUCCGGGAGAGGUGAGUGGAACUGCGAGUGUAGAGGUGAAAUUCGUAGAUAUUCGCAAGAACACCAGUGGCGAAGGCGGCUCACUGGCCCGGUACUGACGCUGAGGUGCGAAAGCGUGGGGAGCAAACGGG
rnacentral:rRNA from 1 species